GACAAGGGAUUUUUCUUGUUUUGACGUAUUUUCUAACCUCUUAGAAUGUUAUUAGAAGUCGUAAUAAAGCUAUGUUUUAAAGUAAAUAAAGACCAUAUUAACGAUGUUAACAUGAUGAGACAUCGAUUUUAUGGAAUGGAGGAGAAGAUUAUAACAGCUAGAAAUUAACAAAAAUCCUGCAAGAGCAUCGAGAUCUCGCUUUUGGCGAGUGGAAGUCCAAAGGCAAAGUGCAGCGGUUUGCAGUUCUUAGCCUCACUUUUUUGGACCUAACAGGACAGGAAAAGAAUAGUCAAAGAGGAAACCCGAGUAGCCAUAUGAUAAUAUAUGAAGCCAUGAGCAGCCAGCCAUUGAAACUCUCAGCAAUUUGAAUAACAAUUUUGAUUAUUACCAAUCAUGUAUCAUACCUAUUAAUAGAAAAUUAAAACUGUUAGGUACCUAUGUUUUAAUUGAAAUUCAAAAUAUUGUUUAAUGUUUUAUAAGUAUUUAUUAAAUAAAUUGU